AUUGAACGCUGGCGGCGUGCCUAACACAUGCAAGUCGAGCGGUAACAGGUGUAGCAAUACAUGCUGACGAGCGGCGAACGGGUGAGUAAUGCUUCGGAAUCUGCCCAUGUAGUGGGGAAUAACCAGCCGAAAGGUUGGCUAAUACCGCAUACGACCUACGGGUGAAAGCAGGGGAUCGCAAGACCUUGCGCUAUUGGAUGAGCCGAAGUCGGAUUAGCAGUUGGUAGGGUAACGGCCUACCAAGGCGACGAUCCGUAGCUGGUCUGAGAGGACGACCAGCCACACUGGGACUGAGACACGGCCCAGACUCCUACGGGAGGCAGCAGUGGGGAAUAUUGGACAAUGGGGGCAACCCUGAUCCAGCGACGCCGCGUGUGUGAAGAAGGCUGCGGGUUGUAAAGC
rnacentral:rRNA from 1 species